UACGUAUGGUGCAAGCGUUAUCCGGAUCUACUGGGUGUAAAGGGAGCGUAGGCGGCGCGUUAAGUCUGAUGUGAAAACCCGAGGCUCAACCACGGGAGUGCAUUGGAAACUGGCGGGCUGGAGUGCCGGAGAGGUAAGCGGAAUUCCUAGUGUAGCGGUGAAAUGCGUAGAUAUUAGGAGGAACACCAGUGGCGAAGGCGGCUUACUGGACGGCAACUGACGCUGAGGCCCGGAAGCGUGGGGAGCAAACAGG
rnacentral:rRNA from 1 species